CAUGCAGAGCAAUAACAUGACCCAUGCGACUGCCCCCGACUGCUGAAAUAAUUCUUUCCCUUAACAAAUUUACGCUAGAACGUGUAGAUGGUUACUUGCAAGAUUGGUAACAGCUCGAGACAGGAAGUACAAUGUAGGACACAAUUGCAAGAAAAACAACCUUUGUAAUCGCUGUGCUUCAUGCUGGCUGUCUUUCGAGAGCUAAAGCAACCAGAUCGUCUGCAUGAGUACAGUAUCCGGAUGUACUGUCAUUGAAACUUCAACUGAAUCUUCUCCCGUUCAUGGGGGAUGUAUCUGGCAGAGAGGACUUUUCCACGAAUCCUUGAGGUGUCAAGUCAUAUGAAUGCACGUUGUGUGCAUCAGGUACCAUGCUUUGAACGAUUUGCUAAAAUCUUGUGCUCCGCCGCAGAAUCUCAGGAUUCGGAUGCACAGCACUAUGGUAAUUUUAUGGAACUACUUAAUCAAAAGCUUAGAGAAAAGUAAAUUGUAAAUGCAAGCUGAUAGAAGUGUUGCUUUGAUGUUGCAAUGACAGGAAGUUGAUGCAGCUUGUGGUUCAGCCUCUUGUUAUAUGUUACAGGCUUGGCACAACCUCUUCGUCACUCAACAAAUAAAUCCGUAGCGAAACAUGAUAUUAACUUUCGAGGUUUCCACAGCAACACUUAAUCGGAAGUUGGC
rnacentral:lncRNA from 1 species